rnacentral:tRNA from 1 species
GGACCGUUAGCUCAGUCGGUGAGAGCAGCAGACUCAUAAUCUGAAGGUCCACGGUUCAAGCCCGUGACGGUCCA